CAAUCACACUGUGUUCUGGUGUGGUGAAAAAGUGUUUUACUACGUUAUUUGUGGAAAAUACUUGUUGUCAUGCAUACGUAACUAUUACAUCUCAGCGUGAUGCGGAGAAUGUGCUUGCCACAUGAAAACGGGUCGAGGGCUGAAAAGAUUGAGAAAGCUGGACAUAUGGUGUGGACCUGGCUUGGACAAUGAGACAAUAAUUGCCAUCAGCCGUGGGCUCCCUGCUUUGCGGAACUCUCUGUCUGUGAUGCAAAGGUGCUCUCGGCUGCUGCCUUCUCUGAGAUCUACCGCCUGGAACAGCUUGAAAUGUGGAGACUGACAUCAUAAUCAUUCAGCAGAUGUAAAUCAGAAAGUCUUCUCACAAAAACUUCCAACAUCGCCAACUGUAUACUUCCCACAGCUGUACCUGUGCUGUCGAUCCCUUUGGUAUCACUAGGUGAGGGUGAACGAGUUCUUUGUCUUCAGGUACGAUGCUCUAUAUGGUUCUUUCACACUGACCACUGCAAUAAUCUAACAACAAUACAGAUAUUCUCCCUCACUGGGAAAGAAAACAGCUUUCAAAUAUCUUUCGACUUGGUCGGGUGUUUGUUUGGUGACAUUUUGAUGGUAUG